rnacentral:rRNA from 1 species
UGAACGCUGGCGGCAUGCUUUACACAUGCAAGUCGGACGGCAGCACAGAGAAGCUUGCUUCUUGGGUGGCGAGUGGCGAACGGGUGAGUAAUAUAUCGGAACGUACCGAGUAAUGGGGGAUAACUAAUCGAAAGAUUAGCUAAUACCGCAUAUUCUCUGAGGAGGAAAGCAGGGGACCUUCGGGCCUUGCGUUAUUCGAGCGGCCGAUAUCUGAUUAGCUAGUUGGUGGGGUAAAGGCCUACCAAGGCGACGAUCAGUAGCGGGUCUGAGAGGAUGAUCCGCCACACUGGGACUGAGACACGGCCCAGACUCCUACGGGAGGCAGCAGUGGGGAAUUUUGGACAAUGGGCGCAAGCCUGAUCCAGCCAUGCCGCGUGUCUGAAGAAGGCCUUCGGGUUGUAAAGGACUUUUGUCAGGGAAGAAAAGGCUGUUGCUAAUAUCAAUAGCUGAUGACGGUACCUGAAGAAUAAGCACCGGCUAACUACGUG